AUGAACGCUAGCGGCAGGCUUAAUACAUGCAAGUCGAGGGGUAGCAAGAUUGUAGCAAUACAAUUGUUGACGACCGGCAAACGGGUGCGGAACACGUACACAACCUUCCUACAAGUGGGGAAUAGCCCAGAGAAAUUUGGAUUAAUACCCCGUAACAUAGCGAUGUGGCAUCACAUUGCUAUUAUAGCUUCGGCGCUUGUUGAUGGGUGUGCGGCUGAUUAGAUAGUUGGCGGGGUAACGGCCCACCAAGUCUACGAUCAGUAGCUGAUGUGAGAGCAUGAUCAGCCACACGGGCACUGAGACACGGGGCCCGACUCCUACGGGAGGCAGCAGUAAGGAAUAUUGGACAAUGGACGCAAGUCUGAUCCAGCCAUGCCGCGUGAAGGAUUAAGGUCCUCUGGAUUGUAAACUUCUUUUAUAAGGGACGAAAAAAGGUCUUUCUAGAUCGUCUGACGGUACCUUAUGAAUAAGCACCGGCUAACUCCGUG
rnacentral:rRNA from 1 species